UACGUAGGUGGCAAGCGUUGUCCGGAUUUACUGGGCGUAAAGAGCGCGCAGGCGGUCGAUUAAGUCGAAUGUGAAAGCCCCCGGCUCAACUGGGGAGGGUCAUUCGAUACUGAUCGACUCGAAGGCAGGAGAGGGUAGUGGAAUUCCCGGUGUAGUGGUGAAAUGCGUAGAUAUCGGGAGGAACACCAGUGGCGAAGGCGACUACCUGGCCUGUUCUUGACGCUGAGGCGCGAAAGCUAGGGGAGCAAACGGG
rnacentral:rRNA from 1 species